AAGUCGUAACAAGGUUUCCGUAGGUGAACCUGCGGAAGGAUCAUUACAAAUAAAGCAGGUAGGAAGUGGGGUCUUGAUCUUAAGGGUAGAGCGAACAGUCCGGCUGCCUCCCGAAAUGUCUUACAUGUCCCCCCAGUCUGAAGGCCGAAUUACAACCCUUGUUAUCUACCUUGUUGCUUUGGGGUGCUCAAGUGCCCCAGAGGACCCAACUCUCUUGAUUUUAGUGACGUCUGAGUACUAUUUAAUAUUUAAAA
rnacentral:misc_RNA from 1 species